rnacentral:rRNA from 1 species
UACGGAGAGGGCUAGCGUUGUUCGGAAUUACUGGGCGUAAAGCGCGCGUAGGCGGCUUUGUAAGUUAGAGGUGAAAGCCCGGGGCUCAACCCCGGAACUGCCUUUAAGACUGCAUCGCUUGAAUCCAGGAGAGGUGAGUGGAAUUCCAAGUGUAGAGGUGAAAUUCGUAGAUAUUCGGAAGAACACCAGUGGCGAAGGCGGCUCACUGGCCUGGUAUUGACGCUGAGGUGCGAAAGCGUGGGGAGCAAACAGG